rnacentral:rRNA from 1 species
GACGAACGCUGGCGGCGUGCCUAAUACAUGCAAGUUGAGCGCUGAAGGUUGGUACUUGUACCAACUGGAUGAGCAGCAAACGGGUGAGUAACGCGUGGGGAAUCUGCCUUUGAGCGGGGGACAACAUUUGGAAACGAUUGCUAAUACCGCAUAAAAACUUUAAACACAAGUUUUAAGUUUGAAAGAUGCAAUUGCAUCACUCAAAGAUGAUCCCGCGUUGUAUUAGCUAGUUGGUGAGGUAAAGGCUCACCAAGGCGAUGAUACAUAGCCGACCUGAGAGGGUGAUCGGCCACAUUGGGACUGAGACACGGCCCAAACUCCUACGGGAGGCAGCAGUAGGGAAUCUUCGGCAAUGGACGAAAGUCUGACCGAGCAACGCCGCGUGAGUGAAGAAGGUUUUCGGAUCGUAAAACUCUGUUGGUAGAGAAGAACGUUGGUGAGAGUGGAAAGCUCAUCAAGUGACGGUAACUACCCAGAAAGGGACGGCUAACUACGU